AUCACUGUUUUGCUAUCCUUGGCC
rnacentral:miRNA from 1 species